rnacentral:lncRNA from 1 species
GAUAAACCAUAUACUUUCACCAGCAUCCAGAGGAGAUGAGAAGGCGAAUGUUGAAAAACCAAGUUCCUCGUGUAUUCCCCGAGCAGAUGAUUUUGUUCAUGGAGUCGCGGCAGAUACUGGGAUGAAGUUAUCAGCUAUGGAUAUAGACCUUCCAACACAGGGUAAUCUGACAGAAUUGGCUUGUGAUGUUCAUAAUGCAGAACCAUCUACGGCUGAGAUUGAAUGUCCUUUGGAUUUAUCAAGUGGAAUUGCAGAUGUAGAAAUGGAGGCAAAGGACGACGAUAAUUGUAAUCUUAAGAUCAAUGUUGGGAUCGAUGGAAGCACAUAGAAAGUCAAAUUGUUUUGGAUGAUUCAAUCAUAUACAGAAUUGCUGAGAUACAUCCUAAGCAUGGAGAGGCUAUGAUGUGUAAUUAUUUUUUCCUAAUGCAGUUCCUGAGGAAGUGUCGAAUGUUACUUGUGACAGCAAAUCAGACCGCUUCGGUAUGGUUCGGCUCUACAAUGAGGUAAAAUUUAUAUAUUCUAAUCUUAUUGAUGGGUGUAUGCAUCAUAUUCGCAUGUUUCUUAAAAAAAUUUAUCUAACAAAAUCACCAUAUGCUACCCACUGAUGUGUUUAGAUACUGUUGUGCUUUUCAUUUGCUUGCAGAUGUGCAAAUUACUUACAGAAAAUGCCCAAGAUUCAGUUGCAGCUCAUAUAGCUAACAAUCCGGCUAGCUUGAAUUUGAGAAGAAAUCUUGCUCCACUGGAAGCGUUUAAUCAAGAGAUAAACCAUAUACUUUCACCAGCAUCCAGAGGAGAUGAGAAGGCGAAUGUUGAAAAACCAAGUUCCUCGUGUAUUCCCCGAGCAGAUGAUUUUGUUCAUGGAGUCGCGGCAGAUACUGGGAUGAAGUUAUCAGCUAUGGAUAUAGACCUUCCAACACAGGGUAAUCUGACAGAAUUGGCUUGUGAUGUUCAUAAUGCAGAACCAUCUACGGCUGAGAUUGAAUGUCCUUUGGAUUUAUCAAGUGGAAUUGCAGAUGUAGAAAUGGAGGCAAAGGACGACGAUAAUUGUAAUCUUAAGAUCAAUGUUGGGAUCGAUGGAAG